GGAUCCAGACUUUGAUUAUGGCUCAGGACGAACGCUGGCGGCGCGCCUAACACAUGCAAGUCGAGCGGGAAGCUUUUUAAGGAUUCUUCGGAUGAAUUAAAAAGUGGAGAGCGGCGGACGGGUGAGUAACGCGUGAGAAACCUGCCCUAUACAGGGAGAUAGCCAUUGGAAACGAUGAUUAAUACCCCAUAUGACCACAGUAUCGCAUGAUACAGCGGUGAAAACUCCGGUGGUAUAGGAUGGUCUCGCGUCUGAUUAGCUAGUUGGUGGGGUGACGGCCUACCAAGGCGACGAUCAGUAGCCGGCCUGAGAGGGUGACCGGCCACACUGGAACUGAGACACGGUCCAGACUCCUACGGGAGGCAGCAGUGGGGAAUAUUGCACAAUGGGCGAAAGCCUGAUGCAGCGACGCCGCGUGAACGAUGAAGGCUUUCGAGUCGUAAAGUUCUGUUCUUGGGGAAGAUAACGACGGUACCCAAGGAGAAAGCACCGGCUAAAUACGUGCCAGCAGCCGCGGUAAU
rnacentral:rRNA from 1 species